GAGCAUACGUGAUUGCUUUCUUGAUCUGCAUGAAGAGCGAGUAGCUGUAAAUAUCAGAGAGGAAAGGAAUUCUUUUGGGAUGAUGAGAGGGGCUCAUCCAAAAUGUUACAAGCAUGCCUGGACACUGAUUCAGACCU
rnacentral:lncRNA from 1 species